GACGAACGCUGGCGGCGUGCUUAACACAUGCAAGUCGAACGAAGUGGCGAACGGGUGAGUAACGCGUAAUCAACCUGCCCUUCAGAGGGGGACAACAGUUGGAAACGACGGCUAAUACCGCAUACUGAAGGAGGGGAUUGCGUCUGACUAGCUAGUUGGAGGGGUAACGGCCCACCAAGGCGAUGAUCAGUAGCCGGUCUGAGGGGAUGAUCAGUCACGUUGGAACUGAGACACGGUCCAAACUCCUACGGGAGGCAGCAGUAGGGAAUAUUGCGCAAUGGGGGAGACCCUGACACAGCAACGCCGCGUGGAGGAUGACACUUUUCGGAGCAUAGACUCCUUUUGUUAGGGAAGCGGUACCUGACGAAUAAGCACCGGCUAACUCCGUGCCAGCAGCCGCGGUAAUAC
rnacentral:rRNA from 1 species